rnacentral:rRNA from 1 species
UGGGGAAUAUUGCACAAUGGAGGGAACUCUGAUGCAGCGACGCCGCGUGAACGAAGAAGGCUUUCGAGUCGUAAAGUUCUUUUAUAUGGGAAGAUAAUGAAGGUACCAUAAGAAGAAGCCCCGGCUAACUACGUGCAAGCAGCCGCGGUAAUACGUAGGGGGCUAGCGUUGUCCGGAAUCACUGGGCGUAAAGGGUUCGCAGGCGGAAAUGCAAGUCAGGUGUAAAAGGCAGUAGCUUAACUACUGUAAGCAUUUGAAACUGCAUAUCUUGAGAAGAGUAGAGGUAAGUGGAAUUUUUAGUGUAGCGGUGAAAUGCGUAGAUAUUAUAAAGAAUACCGGUGGCGAAGGCGACUUACUGGGCUCAUUCUGACGCUGAGGAACGAAAGCGUGGGUAGCAAACAGG